rnacentral:rRNA from 1 species
ACGGGAGGCAGCAGUGGGGAAUAUUGGACAAUGGGGGAAACCCUGAUCCAGCGACGCCGCGUGAGUGAAGAAGUAUUUCGGUAUGUAAAGCUCUAUCAGCAGGAAAGAAAAUGACGGUACCUGACUAAGAAGCCCCGGCUAACUACGUGCCAGCAGCCGCAGUAAUACGUAGGGGGCAAGCGUUAUCCGGAUUUACUGGGUGUAAAGGGAGCGUAGACGGCUUUGCAAGUCUGAAGUGAAAGCCCGGGGCUCAACCCCGGAACUGCUUUGGAAACUGUAGAGCUGGAGUGCAGGAGAGGUAAGCGGAAUUCCUAGUGUAGCGGUGAAAUGCGUAGAUAUUAGGAGGAACACCAGUGGCGAAGGCGGCUUACUGGACGGUAACUGACGUUGAGGCUCGAAAGCGUGGGGAGCAAACAGGAUUAGAUACCCUGGUA